AGUGAACGCUGGCGGUAGGCCUAACACAUGCAAGUCGAACGGCAGCACAGUAAGAGCUUGCUCUUACGGGUGGCGAGUGGCGGACGGGUGAGGAAUACAUCGGAAUCUACUUUUUCGUGGGGGAUAACGUAGGGAAACUUACGCUAAUGCCGCAUACGACCUACGGGUGAAAGCAGGGGAUCUUCGGACCUUGCGCGAUUGAAUGAGCCGAUGUCGGAUUAGCUAGUUGGCGGGGUAAAGGCCCACCAAGGCGACGAUCCGUAGCUGGUCUGAGAGGAUGAUCAGCCACACUGGAACUGAGACACGGUCCAGACUCCCACGGGAGGCAGCAGUGGGGAAUAUUGGACAAUGGGCGCAAGCCUGAUCCAGCCAUACCGCGUGGGUGAAGAAGGCCUUCGGGUUGUAAAGCCCUUUUGUUGGGAAAGAAAAGCAGCAGGUUAAUACCCCGCUGUUCUGACGGUACCCAAAGAAUAAGCACCGGCUAACUUCGUG
rnacentral:rRNA from 1 species